rnacentral:rRNA from 1 species
UACGGGGGGGGCAAGCGUUGUUCGGAAUUACUGGGCGUAAAGGGCUCGUAGGUGGCCAACUAAGUCAGACGUGAAAUCCCUCGGCUUAACCGGGGAACUGCGUCUGAUACUGGAUGGCUUGAGUUUGGGAGAGGGACGCGGAAUUCCAGGUGUAGCGGUGAAAUGCGUAGAUAUGUGGAGGAACACCGAUGGCGAAGGCAGCCCCCUGGGUCAAAACUGACGCUCAUGCACGAAAGCGUGGGGAGCAAACAGG